UGGGGAAUAUUGCACAAUGGACGGAAGUUUGAUGCAGCGACGCCGCGUGGAGGGUGUAGGCCUUCGGGUUGUGAACUCCUUUUUUUCGCGAAAAAGGCACAGCUUUGGCUGUGUUGAUGGUAGUGGGGGAAGAAGCGCCGGCUAACUACGUGCCAGCAGCCGCGGUAAUACGUAGGGCGCGAGCGUUGUCCGGAUUUAUUGGGCGUAAAGAGCUCGUAGGUGGUUCGUCGCGUCUGUCGUGAAAGCCAGCAGCUUAACUGUUGGUCUGCGGUGGGGACGGGCGGGGUUGAGUGCGGUAGGGGUGACUAGAAUUCCUGGUGUAGCGGUGGAAUGCGCAGAUAGCAGGAGGAACACCGAUGGCGAAGGCAGGUCACUGGGCCGUUACUGACACUGAGGAGCAAAAGCGUGGGGAGCGAACAGG
rnacentral:rRNA from 1 species